rnacentral:piRNA from 1 species
UUUCACAGAUGAGAGGAGAACCUUUGGGAC